UUGGAAGAGCAUGAUAAUGACUAAAUGGCUCACCCAUUCCAUAAUGCUUUAACAAGUUACAUUUUUCGCAUGUAUUUUCUUAGUAUUACAGUAGAACUAUAAGUAAUACUAGAUGUUUUAAAUGUUUUGUUUUUUCCCAGGUUCUCCUCAAAAUCUAAGUGUGUGGACAAAUCCAGUGAAGAACUACAACUUCCAAAAGAGUUAAUGGAGGACUGGAGUACUAUGGAGGUCCCUCGGAAUACUGCCCUUCGGAGAGGACUAUCAAUGAAAUAUGAGCCCCGUGCCUUUCAGUUGUUUUUGUGUUCAGAGUCAGCAUUAGCACGGGAGAACACUGAGCUGGACUGUCUUUCCUGGCUGUGGUGUUAGUUAACAGGCUUGAAUUUGCAUUAGAUCAGGUUUUUGCUGCAUCGCAUUGUUCCAUAGACUGAAUGCUAUGUUCGUACCAAUUGGUGAUAUGUGACAGGUCAGCCGAUUGCUCAUUUACACUGAGAGAGAACAAUAGUUUGAAACUUGGCUUUUGUGUGUGUGUGGUAUAUGGAGGCCAGAAACUUUGUCCUUAGUUCAGUUCCUUACUGUUUCCCAAAUAAUUUUCUGACUAAGGCAAAAGCUUCUCAUGUGAGAAUCAGCCUAACAAAGGUGUUGAUGUUAGCACAGUUGUAAGCAGUAAGUCAUAUUGGCACUUCCACCUGACAGUGUCCCUGUAACGUAAAUAGUGAUCCAGAGCCUAGCCACACACCAGAUACCUGGAUUUGGGGCCAGGUGUUUGUCAUCAUCUCACAGCACAAAACCUAAAAGGAUUUUCUCAUACUAUCACACUGAUUUUAAAUUACUGUUGCUCUGAGAUGAAAACUACAGGAGGGACUUUAUGCCUACAUUCUAGUGCAAAACAUCUGAAUAAGCUGUACAGCCAGCCAAGUGGGUGGCCGUUUCCUCUGAGCUGCUAUCUUUGCCCCAGUGCAAUGGAUCAGUGUCUCCUGAGCAGGACACAGGUUUUCAUUUCCUAUUUUGAAUGUGUUAUGGUUACUUGUAGUUUUAUAAUGAAGGUCUAAGAAUUAAAGUUUUGUGGGAGUUUCAGGACAAAGACAGGCCAAAGUUUGUUAAGAAGUUGAGUGUAUUUUGAUUAACAAGGAGGGGGUUGUGACAACAUGGGGGGCCAGCUGUUGGCCACACUGUGGGAGAUGAGCUUGAACUCAUACAUUUUCAGUACAUUUUUCAUAACUUUAUGGUCUUGCCAUCACAACUAAAUUAAGCCACAAUUUGGUACCUUAGGUCUCAAACUGAAAUUUAUUUUUAUAAAUGAAUUUUAAAAGAGGAAACAUUCUCUAGUUCUCUUAAAAUAAGAAGAAAAUUAAUCUGAUGGGCUUUUUGGAUGCUUUUUGCACAAGUUUUCCUUGUGAAUGACUCACGUGAGUAGGGUGGCUUUUGAAUAACGGUAGGUUGGAGGGUGGCAUUGUAUACCUGAAGCAUCUCAGCUUCUUUGGCCCAGGCUAUACUUUAUUACUUUUGUAUACUUAGAAAUGACUAAUCAACCAAAUUGCCAUUAAUGUUUGGAAAAAUCAAUUAAUACACAUGCACAAUAGUUUCCUAAAAGCUGUAGGACAUAUCUGUAGUCAACACUACAAUACCACCGUUUAAUAAAAGGCAUGGUAGUGGCAUUUCAUACCACAUCAAAAUGUAAUAACAUUAAUACCUCAAAACUGCUCUGGUAGUAGUUUUUAAUGGAUUGAAAUUUAUAAUUUUAGUAAACGGCUUAAAAUUACUUAUGAAAUAAACUUUACCACUUGAUUAAGAUAAUGAUGUUAACAGUUCAUCUGUAUUUGCAUGUAAAAGUGGGCCACCUGAGAACCCUUAUUGGUUAUGCAAAUGUUUAAAUUAUUUUAAAGACUCUUAUUUAAGAGGUUUGACAUGAUAUUGGGUGAAUUCAUUUGUAUAAUUUUCCAAAGGAUGAUUAAAACUCUCUAACCCAGAUGAUUUGGUGGGAGCCACACCUUUGAAAGCCCCAAUCUUGAACCUCUAAACCACUACCCGGAAGGGCACAAGGGAGAAGGAACAGUAUUUACAUAUGUAUGUAGACAUGACCUAGAAUAGUGUGCUUUUAAAAAUAAUGACUAGUUUGCUGUUAUUAAAACAUAAGAAAUUAACCCCCCAAAAUGAGAAAUUUCAUCUACAUUCACAAGCAAAUGUCUAGCAUGUCUCAAUCUUUAACUUCACUUCUUCAGGUUUAUGAUACUAUAUAGAUGGAUUUGGGCAUUACGAUCACCUCUUACCAGAGGUCUUAAUCCUUCAGUAGCAUUAAGGAAGUUUGCCAAGUGCAUUAAAGAGGUCAAGUGGAUGGCAAGUCUACAUGAGGCAAUUUGCAGACAAGUAUAAGAAAAGGGACCAUCACACAAGUUACAAUUACAGAAAUCAAAUUACCACCACUUUUUGUUGCCAGAACAAUUUCUUGCAUUUAACCCUCCCUUAUCCAUGACAUGUACCCAACAUCUCAAGUAAAUUAGGUAAUUUCCAGGGACAAUUCACUAAUAGCUUAUGGCGUGUGGUUUUACAAUCCUUGGCCUACUUGGCCUACAAACCUUUGGCCCAUUUUCCUCUUUUUAACCACUGAAAUAACAUACCUUCACAGUAUUCUUCUUUGUCCUUGUUUCUGACUAUUCAGCAUUUACUUCUGAUCCAACAACAAAAAUGUUGUUGGCCAGUUGGUCUCAGUUGGAGCCCAAAGUGUCUUAGAGCUCGUGUGUACAGCUCAGCAGCCCUCCCUGCUCACAUGCCCGCUCCCCUAACUCCCUCCAGACCCCAGCACCUGCUCCUUUUGUCCCAGACCUCAUGAACUCGCCCUGUGGGAGAUCUGUUUCUUUUCCCACAGGAUAACUUCCUAUCAAUGUCAGAAUUGGUAAGAAUGCCUGUAAAUACUGUAAUAUAUUUAUUAAUAUUUGAAGGGCAUUCAUUUAUUGGGCAGUGGGAAUUAGCUCUCCCAAGGCAAGAAAGAAUUAAAUAAUUGAUAUGUACAUUGAUUUAACAGUCUUACUAGAUUUCAAGUCUUAAGCCUUUCAAAUUAAACCAGAAGGUUUUUAUGUAGGAAUUUUAAAAGUGAUCUUACAUUUGAAGAAAUUAUGUGAUCAGCCACCGUGAACUCAUACCAUGAAUUUUUAAAGGCUUUUACUUUUCUAACUGUAUUAUUAAGUAUGGGACUGGAUUUUGGGUUUCACAUAGGAGACAUGAAAGUUUUAAAUUAUGUUGCUAUUUGCUAAAGCAACAUAGCAGAAAAUUUUGUACAUGCAAAACUGUUGACAGGCCAUGGAUAAAUGUGUACACUGACUAGACUUUGACCGGGCUUUUGUGUGCAUAAAAGCCACGCUAUUGCUGGCAUUCAGGGUGACAUGAAGGUACUAAAUGUUUUCCAUUACAGUAUUUUAUUUUAAAUUUAUCUAGGGAAAAAUAAAAUGGCUUUCCAUCAUA